rnacentral:rRNA from 1 species
GAUGAACGCUAGCUACAGGCUUAACACAUGCAAGUCGAGGGGCAGCAUGGGCUUAGCUUGCUAAGCCCGAUGGCGACCGGCGCACGGGUGAGUAACACGUAUCCAACCUUCCGGUAACUCCGGUAUAGCCUUUCGAAAGAAAGAUUAAUCCCGGAUAGUAUGGUGAUUCCGCAUGGUUUCUCCAUUAAAGGAUUCCGGUUACCGAUGGGGAUGCGUUCCAUUAGGCAGUUGGCGGGGUAACGGCCCACCAAACCUACGAUGGAUAGGGGUUCUGAGAGGAAGGUCCCCCACAUUGGAACUGAGACACGGUCCA